rnacentral:rRNA from 1 species
GACGUAGGGGACGAGCGUUGUCCGGAUUCAUUGGGCGUAAAGCGCGCGUAGGCGGCCACGCAAGUCGGGUGUGAAAUCCCGGAGCUCAACUCCGGAACUGCACUCGAAACUGCGCGGCUUGAGGUAGGUAGGGGAGAUCGGAAUUCCUGGUGUAGCGGUGGAAUGCGCAGAUAUCAGGAGGAACACCGGUGGCGAAGGCGGAUCUCUGGGCAGUACCUGACGCUGAGACGCGAAAGCUAGGGGAGCGAACAGG